rnacentral:rRNA from 1 species
ACGAACGCUGGCGGCGUGCUUAACACAUGCAAGUCGCACGGAAAGGCCCUGCUUUUGUGGGGUGCUCGAGUGGCGAACGGGAGAGUAACACGUGAGUAACCUGCCCUUGACUUUGGGAUAACUUCAGGAAACUGGGGCUAAUACCGGAUAGGAGCUCCUGCUGCAUGGUGGGGGUUGGAAAGUUUCGGCGGUUGGGGAUGGACUCGCGGCUUAUCAGCUUGUUGGUGGGGUAGUGGCUUACCAAGGCUUUGACGGGUAGCCGGCCUGAGAGGGUGACCGGCCACAUUGGGACUGAGAUACGGCCCAGACUCCUACGGGAGGCAGCAGUGGGGAAUAUUGCACAAUGGGCGGAAGCCUGAUGCAGCAACGCCGCGUGCGGGAUGACGGCCUUCGGGUUGUAAACCGCUUUCGCCUGUGACGAAGCGUGAGUGACGGUAAUGGGUAAAGAAGCACCGGCUAACUACGUG